rnacentral:rRNA from 1 species
GAACGCUAGCGGGAGGCCUAACACAUGCAAGCCGAGCGGUAUUUGUUCUUCGGAACAGAGAGAGCGGCGCACGGGUGCGGAACACGUGUGCAACCUGCCUUUAUCUGGGGGAUAGCCUUUCGAAAGGAAGAUUAAUACCCCAUAAUAUAUUGAGUGGCAUCACUUGAUAUUGAAAACUCCGGUGGAUAGAGAUGGGCACGCGCAAGAUUAGAUAGUUGGUGAGGUAACGGCUCACCAAGUCAAUGAUCUUUAGGGGGCCUGAGAGGGUGAUCCCCCACACUGGUACUGAGACACGGACCAGACUCCUACGGGAGGCAGCAGUGAGGAAUAUUGGACAAUGGGUUAGCGCCUGAUCCAGCCAUCCCGCGUGAAGGACGACGGCCCUAUGGGUUGUAAACUUCUUUUGUAUAGGGAUAAACCUACUCUCGUGAGAGUAGCUGAAGGUACUAUACGAAUAAGCACCGGCUAACUCCGUG